rnacentral:rRNA from 1 species
GAUACGGGACUCAUCCGAGGCCCCGUAAUCGGAAUGAGUACACUUUAAAUCCUUUAACAAGGAUCCAUUGGAGGGCAAGUCUGGUGCCAGCAGCCGCGGUAAUUCCAGCUCCAAUAGCGUAUAUUAAAGUUGUUGCGGUUAAAAAGCUCGUAGUUGAAUCUGUGUGCCACGCUGUUGGUUCACCGCUCGCGGUGUUUAACUGACAUGAUUGUGGGACGUCCUACCGGUGGGCUUAGCUUCCGUAAAAAGAAGCGGUCCAAAUUAUUUCCCAUCGCGGUGCUCUUUACCGAGUGUCGAGGUGGGCCGGUACGUUUACUUUGAACAAAUUAGAGUGCUUAAAGCAGGCCAUUUUUGCCUGAAUACUGUGUGCAUGGAAUAAUGGAAUAGGACCUCGGUUCUAUUUUGUUGGUUUUCGGAACCCCGAGGUAAUGAUUAAUAGGAACAGAUGGGGGCAUUCGUAUUGCGCCGUUAGAGGUGAAAUUCUUGGAUCGGCGCAAGACGGACAGAAGCGAAAGCAUUUGCCAAAAAUGUUUUCAUUAAUCAAGAACGAAAGUUAGAGGUUCGAAGGCGAUCAGAUACCGCCCUAGUUCUAACCAUAAACGAUGCCAGCUAGCGAUCCGCCGAAGUUCUUUAGAUGACUCGGCGGGCAGCUUCCGGGAAACCAAAGCUUUUGGGUUCCGGGGGAAGUAUGGUUGCAAAGCUGAAACUUAAAGGAAU